rnacentral:tRNA from 1 species
CAGGGAAUAGUUUAAUUAGAAUGUCAGCUUUGGGUGCUGGUGGGUGGGUUGUUUACCUCUUCCUUG